rnacentral:rRNA from 1 species
AUUGAACGCUGGCGGCAGGCCUAACACAUGCAAGUCGAAUGGUAACAGGAAACAGCUUGCUGUUUCGCUGCCGAGUGGCGGGCGGGUGAGUAAUGUCUGGGAAACUGCCUGAUGGAGGGGGAUAACUACUGGAAACGGUAGCUAAUACCUCAUAACGUCGCAAGACCAAAGAGGGGGACCUUCGGGCCUCUUGCCAUCAGAUGUGCCCAGAUGGCAUUAGCUAGGAGGUGGGGUCACGGCUCACCUAGGCGACGAUCCCUAGCUGGUCUGAGAGGGUGACGAGCCACACUGGAACUGAGACACGGUCCAGACUCCUACGGGAGGCAGAGGUGGGGAAUGUUGCACAAUGGGCGCAAGCCUGAUGCAGCCAUGCCGCGUGUAUGAAGAAGGCCUUCGGGUGGUAAAGUACUUUCAGCGGGGAGAAAGGGAGUAAAGUUAAUACCUUUGCUCAUUGACGUUACCCGCAGAAGAAGCACCGGCUAACUCCGUG